rnacentral:rRNA from 1 species
AGAGUUUGAUCCUGGCUCAGGACGAACGCUGGCGGCGUGCCUAACACAUGCAAGUCGAACGGAACUGUUUUGAAAGAUUUCUUCGGAAUGAAUUUGAUUUAGUUUAGUGGCGGACGGGUGAGUAACGCGUGAGUAACCUGCCUUCAAGAGGGGGAUAACAUUCUGAAAAGAAUGCUAAUACCGCAUGACAUAUCGGAACCACAUGGUUCUGAUAUCAAAGAUUUUAUCGCUUGAAGAUGGACUCGCGUCCGAUUAGUUAGUUGGUGAGGUAACGGCUCACCAAGACCGCGAUCGGUAGCCGGACUGAGAGGUUGAACGGCCACAUUGGGACUGAGACACGGCCCAGACUCCUACGGGAGGCAGCAGUGGGGGAUAUUGCGCAAUGGGGGCAACCCUGACGCAGCAACGCCGCGUGAAGGAUGAAGGUUUUCGGAUUGUAAACUUCUUUUAUUAAGGACGAAACUUGACGGUACUUAAUGAAUAAGCUCCGGCUAACUACGUGCCAGCAGCCGCGGUAAUACGUAGGGAGCAAGCGUUGUCCGGAUUUACUGGGUGUAAAGGGUGCGUAGGCGGCUUUGCAAGUCAGAUGUGAAAUCUAUGGGCUCAACCCAUAAACUGCAUUUGAAACUGUAGAGCUUGAGUGAAGUAGAGGCAGGCGGAAUUCCCCGUGUAGCGGUGAAAUGCGUAGAGAUCGGGAGGAACACCAGUGGCGAAGGCGGCCUACUGGGCUUUAACUGACGCUGAGGCACGAAAGCGUGGGUAGCAAACAGGAUUAGAUACCCUGGUAGUCCACGCUGUAAACGAUGAUUACUAGGUGUGGGGGGUCUGACCCCUUCCGUGCCGGAGUU